rfam:Asian citrus Psyllid, Diaphorina citri - Florida Strain, whole genome shotgun sequence.
AAUUUGGACAGAAGCAUGUUGAAUACACCAAUGGAUCACUGAAGUUGAGCAACGCUGCGUGUGGUUCGUAUCCGGAUGGGUGACCAUUUGAGCAAUCACGUGUUGACUUUU